GGCAUUCCCCCGAUGACAGUCUGUUGUCAAACUUUCUUUCACUGGAGAUUCGUGUCUGAUGACUUGUCAGUGCUCUGGUUUAGAAAAUUUACAUUUAUCACAGACUUGGUGAUUGUACUGGUAAAGAUAGAGCUGAGUGUGCGAGACCGGCUAGCUGUCACAUUGAAAGUUUGGGAUGGAGGAGAGACGGUCGACGGUUGGCAAGUCGGAACACAGUGCAAGAAUCACUAGGCCUGUCAAUCAAUUUACUGAUGUGUUUGUGCUGCUCUUCAGAAAUUUGUGAAUAGUUAUUGACACUCUGCACUCUGCACAUUUCUGAUUUGUAUUAUAUGAGUAGGUGGAACAUUUUUCUCAGAAAGAGUUUGGACCAGUUACUUUCGGGCGGAAUGAUUCGUCAACCGUUUGGUAGAUUCAAGUUUUGCAUUUGCUGCCAUGCGUUUCAUUAUGGACCCAAGCUUGUUGAUGCCAACAGGUUGUCGCUUAAACCAAGGAUGUGUCGGAGCAGGAGCAGUUUUAGAACUUGUUGCCAAGUAGAAAGGCGCGUCAUGGCCAAUAAACCAUUUGGUCUAAGGUUAGCAUAGCGCUUAUAAAUACGCAAGGACCAGGCAGCGAGUGUCACCUGUUGCCCAAGUUUUCGGCGUGACAUCCGAACAUCCCGGAUGGUUACACCAGUGCGUGUUUUGGUUUGUCGCUCAACAAACUGCAGGUACCAUGCCAUUUCCAUCUUGAAUUAACAUCACGUCUCCCUACGCAGUCGAAAGUGAAUUCAAAAUUGACUCGGGAGUUUCGAGACCUAAUUCCCCGGAUUUCCAUAAUGUGUCAAUGUCGUUAUGACUAAGGGACUGCGCACGCAUAGCCAAUUCCGGAUGGAAGGUAAUCGAGCUUGGACCAGG